rnacentral:tRNA from 1 species
GCCCCCGUAGCGCAACUGGAUAGAGCGGAAGACUUCUAAUCUUCAGGUUCCAGGUUCGAGUCCUGGCGGGGGCA